GCUUCAAAAUGGUCUUUUCAGAACUCUAACUUUGGAAUGCUACAGACUGCCCCUGAAUCACCCUAAAGAGAGGUAUGGAAAGCUUUUUUAUGCUUCACUGAGGACAAUCAACCUCUUCACAGUCUAGAAACUGAAGUUGGAUGUUCUGAGAACAUCAGAGAAAGACUGACCUUGCCAUCCACACUGCAACAAAACUUUGGAAGCUUGAACCUUGGGUUUAUAAUCUCACAACUGAGAAGGGUACCCCAAUACUCUUGGAACUGUACACCCAUUGGAACCCUUAAGGUAAAACUAACUAGGAAAGUUUCUCCCCAAAAGAAGAUGGCAUCCUUGAUGUGAACAGAUUUUCCCAAGAUCACAAAUCAAAACUUCUACUAUCAUGAGACUCUUAUCUUUGAAUAUUUUUCCCUGUUUAUGCCUCUAUGAACAACGGAAAUGGAAGGGGGCCUAUUAUAUGCACUUAUAGGGUGUACUUUUAUUUGUGAAGAAUUUUGCAUCCAGACUUAUAUAAAUACAUUUAUACUCUGAUAGAUAAAAGAUGAAGCCCCAGUGUAGGUGAGAAACUUUAGUGGUACAUACAUUGCCUCAUAAUCAGUCAAAACUCCUCUUAACCUACAUCAUAGAUUAAAGAGAACACUGUCAGGAGAUGCUCACUAUUCUACAAGGACAUCACUUGUUAGGUCAUUUUUCCAUGGUUUAGAAUAAAAGAGGCAAUAAUUAGAAAUGUAUCCUUUUUGAUAGGCUCUAUAGCAGAUUCUACUGUAAAGGCUAUCAUUAAACAACAGACUUUAAGUUCUUUCAUGAAAGUCAUUCUAAAUAAUGUAAUUGGCUAAACAGAAAAGUACUUGUGCAGCUGCUGGUACUUAUGGCCUAUGAAGAAAUUUAUCAAAUGUAGAUUAUAGAAAUUUGGUUGUAGGGCAUUAAUAAAAAGACCACUUAAUCAAGUGAAUAGAUUCUUUAUCUAGCUUAUUAUUUAUUUAAUUUUCAGUGGUUUGGUUUAUGGGGACCCUGGGUAAGGAGCAUACUCCAAACUCUUGGUAUUAUCCUCCCACUAGUCAUAGUAAUAGUCCUGCUGAUGCACUGUAUUCUCUCAAAAGUUUUAAAUAUUUGCAUGCAGGCAUCUCUAGAACAUCAAAUGGUCUCUUUUCAACUGGAAUAACAAGAGCUGAAAGAAAUGUGUGACCAUGAAGAUACCAUAACCUGUGAAUGAUGUGCUGAGACAGGAAACCCACAAUGAUGGUAACAGAGAGUGGAGCUAAGGCCCUAGUUUUGGUCGCAUGCUCACCUAAGGGAGAAGCUGACCAAAAGUGGGGAUUUUUUUUUAAAACAAAAUUAUGGAAGACCAUUGUUUUGGACUAAGCUCAUACACUAGGCCCCAACAGGCCAAACCAAACUAAAAUGGAGUCAAUCCUGCUAAAUAAUCAUACCAAGACUUUAAGGAUACAUAGAUCUUAGCAUAUAAUCAAACUAAGACUUUAAGGAAACACACAGAUCUUAAAACAGACUGGGUUUUGUUUUUCUCCUUUAAACAGUAUGUUCCAGCAUAAAGAGGUACCCUCUACUCAGUCCUUGUUCUUACCUUUGCAAAACUCACCGUUCUACUGUUUCCCAGUGGGUUUUAAGACCAAAUAAGUACAUUUACAAUGGUGAUAGUGACAUUAAUAACUAAAAUUUUAGUCAAUUUCUCAAAAUUAAGAAAAUGACCAAAAGAGGGGAAUUGUUAAAGUGAAUGAAAUAUGGCCUGAGAAGGACUCCAUACUUCUUUAUUUGAGUCCUUGUGGACAAAAUGCAACCCAGCUUAAGAGGUAGACAAGAUUAAAAACCUAACUUAGGAGUAUGCACCUGUAACAAGAGCUGAGACUUGGCCAAUCACAGUCACCAUACAUCAACAAUUCAUACACCACUGAGUGUUCAAACUGUUUAAAUAAGGCAAACACUAACUUGUAACCAACCCAGUCGUUCUGUACCUCACUUCCAAUUUCUGUAAAUCAUUUCCAUUUUUUUGCCUAUAAACUUUCGUCCACCCUGUGGCUGCGCCGAAGUCUCUGUGAAUCUGCUGUGAUUCUGGGGGCUGCCUGAUUCGUGAAUUAUUCAUUGCUCGAUUAAACUCCUUUAAAUUAAA